UCUGAGAUCUUUAAGAUCAUUUUACUUCAAAAUACAGCUCUUUGGUCACGCAGGGAUUUCAGCGGGCCAUCUCGGGACUUUUCAGUUGACUUCUCAGUGCGGACUUCCGGUGAAGCCCCUCUAAGGACCCUGAAGCGUUUGCUAUGACAACCAUGGCGGGGCAAGACCAACCCGGGCCUCCUUUCUGCCUCGCCGGGCUUGGGGAGUGAGGGACCUGGACCAAAGGCUGGAACCCGCAGUGGCUGCCACACACUCCCUGGCUGUGGACUGGCCUGUCUUCGGUGAUGAAGUUUGGUUGGGUGAACUAACUCAGAGGCAGUCUGUGCCUGCAGAAAUGACCCGCCAGCACACUCAUACCCACCCUACUCACGAAGCCCAGAGCAAAUCCUCUGUCCUGCCUGCUGUAGAGAAAGACCACUGCAUGCUGGGUUAGACUGGACGGCUCCGUAGGGAACCCAGGUCUCUCCGUUUUCUUUCCCAGAAGAGUUCUUUCAGACCCCAAAGCUAACACCGUAAGGAACCAGAGGCUUCUCAGAACUUGGCAACAUCUAUUGGCCAUGUCUUCCAGAUUGUGGUGGAGAAUUUCAGCAUCUCCUGAGACACAGAAGAAAACUUUGAGAACAUCUUUUUGGCAACUGAGAAAACAUCAGUCCAGUGGCCCCGACACACCUUCCGUGGGCUGAAGGUGCGAUGGAAAUGAAGUUGAGAAUCAUUUUUCAACCUAGGGACACUGUAUAUAAUCUGCCCAGCUCUGAGCAGCCCAUGUUUCAUGCUUAUACAUGAAGUCUUUACAGUCCUUCAGAGAACUCCGUCGUUGGUAUUAAAAUCUAGUUGCAGUUUUAAGAUUACACUCACUAGAAAGUUCCUGCUUUUAUCCUGUUCCUAGUUUUUCCGCUUGGCUUCUUCUGGGGUCCCAAGAAUGUACAGCCAGUUCUCAAUUUACCAUGACUCAACCAACAGUUGUGGAUUUCCUGGAAUACUAAAUGCUUUGUUUUGU